AGCGCCGGGGGUUCGGCCCGUAAAAGAUCCAUCACCCCAGGUAGAGAAACCUCUCCAACCCAGCCCAACCCAGCCCGACCCACCCCGGCGCGCCCCGCCGUCACUCGCUUGGGUGAUCCAUGACCGGAAGGCUCGCCUCCGCUGCCCUCGCCCAUGCACUCUCGGCAGCAACAACCCCAAAAUCCCGCACACAUGCGACGGCCCCCGGCCGGGACUGGCAUCCCGAUCGAGGGCCUGACCAACGAGGAAGACCGAACCCUUCCCU
rnacentral:ncRNA from 1 species